rnacentral:rRNA from 1 species
GACGAACGCUGGCGGCGUGCUUAACACAUGCAAGUCGAGCGAUGAAGCUCCUUCGGGAGUGGAUUAGCGGCGGACGGGUGAGUAACACGUGGGUAACCUGCCUCAUAGAGGGGAAUAGCCUUCCGAAAGGAAGAUUAAUACCGCAUAAGAUUGUAGUUCCGCAUGGGACAGCAGUUAAAGGAGCAAUCCGCUAUGAGAUGGACCCGCGUCGCAUUAGCUAGUUGGUGAGGUAACGGCUCACCAAGGCGACGAUGCGUAGCCGACCUGAGAGGGUGAUCGGCCACAUUGGGACUGAGACACGGCCCAGACUCCUACGGGAGGCAGCAGUGGGGAAUAUUGCACAAUGGGGGAAACCCUGAUGCAGCAACGCCGCGUGAGUGAUGACGGUCUUCGGAUUGUAAAACUCUGUCUUUGGGGACGAUAAUGACGGUACCCAAGGAGGAAGCCACGGCUAACUACGUGCCAGCCGCCGCCGUAAUAC